UUAACACUAGUGAGAACCAUAUACAAACUACAACCAAGUAAGAAGACAACAAUGACUCAACAAAAAUAAUGGAGAAAAGUACACAAACUAAACCUAACAAUGGAGCAAAUGGUUAGGAAACAAAUCAACACACAUUGGAUGCAUACCAAAAGAAAAGAUGGAAUCUAAUACAAAACAAACCUAUAUAGGAUUGACGAAAGCAUAAACAAAAUAUAAAUAACUAAAUAAUAUAAA
rnacentral:lncRNA from 1 species